CUUGUUCAAACUUGCUUCAAAGAAUUUCAUACACUUUAAUCCUUAAAACCUUGAAAAAUGAUCAGUGUGCCACAGGCAUUAAACCUGUAAACUUUUUUUAACCUCUCCUUUAAAUACCCGAAAUCUUAGUCUGAUUCUGGCAAGUGACCUGGGUAAAAAUUUUAACGUCCAUUUAAUGCACACACAUUUUUGUGUUCCAUAGCUGGUGCUUGCUCACUGUUGGUACAUGACAAACGCAUCUGGGGGAAGAGUUUUGAAAACAAUUCGACAGCAUGAAAGGUUCCAACAAUAAAACAGAACUCUUUACAUUGCAAAGCCAAACAAAUAACUCGGGCAAGUGUAACUGAAUAAAUCCCGAGCUUCGGUGCA
rnacentral:lncRNA from 1 species